rnacentral:tRNA from 1 species
GGGGCUAUAGGGUAGCUUGGAUCAUCCUUUCUGGUUUGGGACCAGAAGACCCCGGUUCAAAUCCGGGUAGCCCCA